UGGGGAAUUUUCCGCAAUGGGCGAAAGCCUGACGGAGCAAGACCGCGUGAGGGAGGAAGGCUCUUGGGUUGUAAACCUCUUUUCUCAGGGAAGAAGCUCUGACGGUACCUGAGGAAUCAGCCUCGGCUAACUCCGUGCCAGCAGCCGCGGUAAUACGGAGGAGGCAAGCGUUAUCCGGAAUUAUNNNNCGUAAAGCGUCCGCAGGUGGCGAUUCAAGUCUGCUGUCAAAGCACGGGGCUUAACUCCGUUAAGGCAGUGGAAACUGAAUAGCUAGAGUGCCGUAGGGGUAGAGGGAAUUCCCGGUGUAGCGGUGAAAUGCGUAGAGAUCGGGAAGAACAUCGGUGGCGAAAGCGCUCUACUGGACGGCAACUGACACUCAGGGACGAAAGCUAGGGGAGCGAAUGGGAUUAGAUACCCCAGUAGUCCUAGCUGUAAACGAUGGAUACUAGGUGUAGCUUGUAUCGACCC
rnacentral:rRNA from 1 species